CAGUCGCCGCGGUAAUACAGAGGGUGCGAGCGUUAAUCGGAUUUACUGGGCGUAAAGCGUGCGUAGGCGGCUAAUUGAGUCGGAUGUGAAAUCCCCGAGCUUAACUUGGGAAUUGCAUUCGAUACUGGUUAGCUAGAGUGUGGGAGAGGAUGGUAGAAUUCCAGGUGUAGCGGUGAAAUGCGUAGAGAUCUGGAGGAAUACCGAUGGCGAAGGCAGCCAUCUGGCCUAACACUGACGCUGAGGUACGAAAGCAUGGGGAGCAAACAGGAUUAGAGACCCCCGUAGUCCCUGUCUCUUAUAC
rnacentral:rRNA from 1 species